CCUACGGGGGGCAGCAGUGGGGGAUAUUGCACAAUGGAGGAAACUCUGAUGCAGCGACGCCGCGUGAGGGAAGACGGUCUUCGGAUUGUGAACCUCUGUCUUUGGGGAAGAAAAUGACGGUACCCAAAGAGGAAGCUCCGGCUAACUACGUGCCAGCAGCCGCGGUAAUACGUAGGGAGCGAGCGUUGUCCGGAAUUACUGGGUGUAAAGGGCGUGUAGGCGGGAGAGCAAGUCAGACGUGAAAUUCCAGGGCUCAACCCUGGAACUGCGUUUGAAACUGUUCUUCUU
rnacentral:rRNA from 1 species